rnacentral:misc_RNA from 1 species
UUUGGUUUGUUACGUGUGGUUGGCUGCGGCGUUUGCAACAACUUCCAUGCUUUCAGACCUCUUCAGUUGUGCGGCAAGGCUUGUAUCGCCUUGAGCGUAUUGUGGGUUUUCUGUGUUGGCUACCUAAUCAAUGGUAUCGGUUGGAUUGAUCAAUGUUUCAUUUCGUCUUCCGUCGCAUUCGCGGCGUGAGAUGAACCUUGAUGCGGUCUCUUUGAUCCACCUCGUCGAAGCGCAUGCUUUGGCGUUGUGGCACAUUGAGCAUUGCUUGGUCUCUUGUAUACGGAACAUAUAGUGGGCAUGGAUCUAACGAUUCUCGUUUGCCCUCAUAUUAGCGUAACGCUUCUCUUACACGACUUGCACCACGUUUUAG